rnacentral:rRNA from 1 species
CUGGCUCAGGAUGAACGCUAGCGGCAGGCUUAACACAUGCAAGUCGAGGGGCAACGCGAGUAGCAAUACUUGGCGGCGACCGGCGCAAGGGUGCGUAACGCGUGAGCAACAUGCCCGUAUCAGGGGGAUAAUCCAGGGAAACUUGGUCUAAUACCCCAUAGUAAUUUUGUAAGGCAUCUUAUAAGAUUUAAAGCUUUGGUGGAUACGGAUUGGCUCGCGUGACAUUAGCUGGAUGGUAAGGUAACGGCUUACCAUGGCUAUGAUGUCUAGGGGUUCUGAGAGGAAGGUCCCCCACACUGGAACUGAGACACGGUCCAGACUCCUACGGGAGGCAGCAGUGAGGAAUAUUGGACAAUGGAUGGAAAUCUGAUCCAGCCAUGCCGCCGUGAAGGAAGAAGGUCCUAUGGAUUGUAAACUUCUUUUGUAUGGGAGCAAUAAGGCCUACGAGUAGGCUGAUGAGAGUACCAUACGAAUAAGCACCGGCUAACCCCGUGCCAGCCGCCGC